rnacentral:rRNA from 1 species
UACGUAGGGUGCGAGCGUUAAUCGGAAUUACUGGGCGUAAAGCGUGCGCAGGCGGUUUUGUAAGCCCGAUGUGAAAUCCCCGGGCUUAACCUGGGAAUGGCAUUUGGGACUGCAAGGCUGGAGUUUGGCAGAGGAGACUGGAAUUCCUGGUGUAGCAGUGAAAUGCGUAGAUAUCAGGAGGAACACCGAUGGCGAAGGCAGGUCUCUGGGCUGAAACUGACGCUCAUGCACGAAAGCGUGGGGAGCAAACAGG